rnacentral:rRNA from 1 species
CCUACGGGUGGCAGCAGUGGGGAAUAUUGCACAAUGGGCGCAAGCCUGAUGCAGCCAUGCCGCGUGUGUGAAGAAGGCCUUCGGGUUGUAAAGCACUUUCAGCGGGGAGGAAGGCGGUGAGGUUAAUAACCUCAUCGAUUGACGUUACCCGCAGAAGAAGCACCGGCUAACUCCGUGCCAGCAGCCGCGGUAAUACGGAGGGUGCAAGCGUUAAUCGGAAUUACUGGGCGUAAAGCGCACGCAGGCGGUCUGUCAAGUCGGAUGUGAAAUCCCCGGGCUCAACCUGGGAACUGCAUUCGAAACUGGCAGGCUAGAGUCUUGUAGAGGGGGGUAGAAUUCCAGGUGUAGCGGUGAAAUGCAUAGAGAUCUGGAGGAAUACCGGUGGCGAAGGCGGCCCCCUGGACAAAGACUGACGCUCAGGUGCGAAAGCGUGGGGAGCAAACAGGAUUAGAUACCCGAGUAGUC